CCCGCCUGCUCCCUUUGGACUAUGGCCCUGCAGGUUAAACCGUUUAUUUCCCCUGCAGAAAGGCUUAUUUGUGUGAUCUGAGUGCCAUUCAUCUAAUAAUGUGCACUCAGAUCCCAGCUAUGUGGGGAUAUGUGAAAUGUCUGUGUGUUAUGUGUAAAUGUGACUUUAUGUAUUUUAAAGUGUUUUGUGUCUUUUUGCAACCAUGUGCUUAAUGGAGUCUUGUGUCUAUCCUGGGAGAUAAUUGAAU